rnacentral:rRNA from 1 species
GACGAACGUUGGCGGCGUGCUUAACACAUGCAAGUCGAACGGAAAGGCCCUGCUUUUGUGGGGUGCUCGAGUGGCGAACGGGUGAGUAACACGUGAGUAACCUGCCCUUGACUUUGGGAUAACUUCAGGAAACUGGGGCUAAUACCGGAUAGGAGCUCCUGCUGCAUGGUGGGGGUUGGAAAGUUUCGGCGGUUGGGGAUGGACUCGCGGCUUAUCAGCUUGUUGGUGGGGUAGUGGCUUACCAAGGCUUUGACGGGUAGCCGGCCUGAGAGGGUGACCGGCCACAUUGGGACUGAGAUACGGCCCAGACUCCUACGGGAGGCAGCAGUGGGGAAUAUUGCACAAUGGGCGGAAGCCUGAUGCAGCAACGCCGCGUGCGGGAUGACGGCCUUCGGGUUGUAAACCGCUUUCGCCUGUGACGAAGCGUGAGUGACGGUAAUGGGUAAGGAAGCACCGGCUAACUACGUG